CCCUUAUUAUAUAUGGUGUAUUUGAUUUGGUCAAGUUUUCGAUGUGAGACUUCAAUAUUCUUCACCUAUUUAAACAAUGGAUAAUGUUAAACCGUAUUUUGUAGCUGGGAAAUACAUAUAAUGGUGCAAGAAUUAUGGUUGAUAUUGUGCUAUAAUUUUUUCACAGUUAAUUAAUUUCUUCAAAAAUUCCUUGACGUCCAUGGAUCAAUAUAAAUUCUCAAUUUUGAAUUUGUCAAGGCUGUCUGGUAACGUAUUAAAUUUGUCCUCUUUCUGUUGAUAUAUAAGGCUCUAUAUGCAUGUUAAAUUAAGAGAGCUAGGAAAGGAAAUAAGAAACUAAUUAAUAUGGGUAAGGCACAAAGCUCCUCCUACUUUGUGAUCUUGGCACUUUCUAUAGCUGUGAAUCUGUUAUUGGUUUUCCAAUUCUGUGUGGAUGGAGAGUGGAGACUCACUUGGAGUAAAAGAGCAGCAGAAGAAGCUGAGCGUGUGGCAGCCAUUCCUUGCUCAGGCCAUGGAACAGCCUAUUUGGAUGGGUUGGUUCUUGAUGGGAAGGAACCAGUUUGUGAGUGUAAUUCUUGCUAUGAAGGCCCAGAUUGCUCUGAGUUUGUAACUGAAUGUGCAGCAAAUGCUGACAGUGGAGACCCGUAUUUCUUGCAGCCAUUUUGGAUGCAACAUGCAGCCCAAAGUGCAGUUUUAGUAGCAGGGUGGCAUCGGAUGGGAUAUAGCUACCCUGAUGGCUCUUACAUCUCAGCAGAGCUAGAGGGGCACAUCCGUAAAUUGCAUGCCACUGUGGGAAAUGCAGUAACUCAAGGAAGAUACAUUGUGUUUGGUGCUGGGUCAACCCAACUUCUCAAUGCUGCAGUUCAUGCAUUGUCUUCUCAUAAUUCUUCCAACUCCUCCUCACCUGCAAGUGUUGUAGCUACAAUUCCUUAUUACAGGCUUUACAAAACGCAAACGGAAUUUUUUCGAUCAUUGGACUACAGGUUUGAAGGAGACACAUUCUCAUUUCUUAAUAUUUCAGAAGCUGGCAAAGUUAUUGAGUUUGUAACCUCACCAAACAAUCCUGAUGGAAAGCUGAAUAAGGCAGUUCUUCACGGCCCCAACGCCUCUGCAAUUUAUGAUCCUCUGCAAUUUAUGAUCGGGUCUAUUACUGGCCACAUUUUACAGCAAUUCCGAAUCCAGCUGAUGAUGAUCUUAUGCUAUUUUCACUUUCCAAACUCACUGGUCAUGCUGGUUCUAGAUUCGGAUGGGCAGUGAUAAAGAACGAGUCUGUGUACCAAAAGAUGACGGAGUAUAUGAGUUCAAGUAGCAUGGGUGUUUCUCGAGAUGCUCAGCUAAGAGCUUUGAAGCUUAUCAAUGUGGUGCUUGAAACUAGAGGCAAGCAAAUCUUUGAAUUUGGAUUCCACACCAUGAGGAAUCGCUGGGAAAGCUUGAGCAAAAUCUUGUCUUUGUCAAACCGAUUUUCUCUGCAGAAACUUGGACCCCGAUACUGCACUUAUUUUCAGAAAAUUAGAGGACCCUCACCAGCAUAUGCGUGGGUGAAGUGUGAGAGGGAAGAGGAUACAGAUUGCUAUGAAGUCCUCAAAGCAGCCAAUAUUACUGGGCGUAGCGGAAGCCAAUUUUCAGCUCCAGACCGCUAUGUACGUCUCAGCCUCAUAAGGAGCCAAGAUGACUUUGAUAUAUUGAUUCAGCGACUAACCCAGUUGGUCUCAGAAGAAAGACAGCAGCAAAACCAUGCAAACAAUUUCUUGCAGCUCAAGAAGCCUCUGAUGAGCACCCUAAGAAGGGGUCUUGUCUAUUAACAAUUAUCACCUUCACAGUCUAUCAAAUGAAUAAGAAAAUUCCACCACAUAUGUACAUAUUAUUAAAUUGAAUAAUUAUCAACUUUACGUACACUCAUCGUCAGUUUUUUUCUUUUUAACAUUCUAUAAAAUUGAAUAAAUUGUGGGGUUCAUAUGUUA